AGGGAGAGAGAGAGAGAGAGAGAGAGAGAGAGAGAGAGAGAGAGAGAGAGAGAGAGAGAGAGUUUAUUUAUAGAGGAUGACACUUCACAGUACGAAUACUGAUGACUCUGUGGUCCUCUGGAAACCUAUGUGCCUAACCCACCCAUGUCAACUUUCUCUGUGGGAGGAAACAUGGAGUACCCGGAGAAAACCCACGACUUUCGGCAGAGCGUCGACUUUUACUCAUUUCACAUGAGGCCUGGGUUCAAGUCACAUUGAGAAGUUCUCACUGAGAUUCGAACCUGCGUCCUUAGAGGUGAAAGGCAAGUGCGCUAACCACUUCGCCACCGUAGAAGAAAAAUUUGUUAGUAAAUUUGAACAGUAAAUAGGGAAAUUGGGAAUUGAAAUGAAAAUAAUUACUUAAGUAGCUUUAUAAUGAUCAGCAAGGAUUAUAUAUACUAAAGUGCUUGAUAGCCAUCAUUCAAUAAUUUCAGAAUUGAUGUUAUAUUAGGUUAAUUAAUAGACAAAUACUAAAAUAUUUUCUUACAUUACUCAGAAAUUACCUGAAUAUAUAAAUUUAAAUAAAUUAGCUGCAAUGUAUUUAUGAGAGGACGUAGGCUACAGCAAGAAUUAGCAGAAGGAAUUGCGAUGC